rnacentral:rRNA from 1 species
RUCCUGSCYCASAUUGAMCSCUGSCGSCAGSCUUAMCMCAUSCAAGYCGAMCGGUASCMCAARGGASCUUGCUCCUUGGGUGACGAGUGGCGGACGGGUGAGUAAUGCUUGGGAAUCUGGCUUAUGGAGGGGGAUAACUACUGGAAACGGUAGCUAAUACCGCGUAAUGUCUUUGGACUAAAGGGUGGGACCUAUUGGCCACCUGCCAUAAGAUGAGCCCAAGUGGGAUUAGGUAGUUGGUGAGGUAAAGGCUCACCAAGCCCGCGAUCUCUAGCUGGUCUGAGAGGAUGACCAGCCACACUGGAACUGAGACACGGUCCAGACUCCUACGGGAGGCAGCAGUGGGGAAUAUUGCACAAUGGGGGGAACCCUGAUGCACGCCAUGCCGCGUGAAUGAAGAAGGCCUUCGGGUUGUAAAGUUCUUUCGGUGAUGAGGAAGGCGGUUAGUUUAAUAGACUAAUUGAUUGRCGKUAGKCACAGRAGRAGSACCGGCUAACUCCGK